UCACAUUCGAUGCAGGAGUCUGACGUGU
rnacentral:piRNA from 1 species